UACGUAGGGCGCAAGCGUUGUCCGGAAUUAUUGGGCGUAAAGAGCUCGUAGGUGGUCUGUUGCGUCCGCUGUGAAAACCCAGGGCUUAACCCUGGGCUGGCAGUGGAUACGGGCAGACUAGAGGUAGGUAGGGGAGAAUGGAAUUCCCGGUGUAGCGGUGAAAUGCGCAGAUAUCGGGAGGAACACCAGUGGCGAAGGCGGCGACCUGGGCCAAUAUUGACGCUGAGGUGCGAAAGCGUGGGGAGCAAACAGGAGUUAGAAACC
rnacentral:rRNA from 1 species